rnacentral:lncRNA from 1 species
GUUUUAUAUAAAUAAAGUAUUGGACAGUUCAUAUUAAUGACCAGUUUGUUAAAAUUGGAGAUUUUUUUUCUUCAUUUUUUCCCCCUACACUUUAUAGGGACAAUAGUACCUUUCGAGGAUCUGGUAUUUUUGGGCAAGUCAGACUUUAUAGUUUCUUUUAUUAACAGAUUUACGAUUUUUAAAGGAGAGGUUGAAAAAAUAAAGAAUCAUAUCUGUUGAAUGAAAAAAAAACCCAAUGAAACCGUCAAUAAAGGGAGCUACUAUUUAAUUUUUAUUUGGGGGAGGGGCUAGGAUGAAUAAUUUUGUCCUGCAUUUUU